UACGUACGAGGCGAGCGUUAUCCGGAAUUACUGGGCGUAAAGCGCGCGCAGGUGGCCUGCUAAGUCAGAUGUGAAAUCUCCCGGCCCAACUGGGAGCGGCCAUUUGAUACUGGUGAGCUUGAGGGCAGCAGAGGUCGGUGGAAUUCCUGGUGUAGUGGUGAAAUGCGUAGAGAUCAGGAGGAACACCGGUGGCGAAGGCGGCCGACUGGGCUGCCUCUGACGCUGAGGCGCGAAAGCUCGGGGAGCGAACGGG
rnacentral:rRNA from 1 species